UUCUAAAUGUCACCCAAUCCUGUAACUGCCAUGUAUGGAAGUCCCUUCCCCUUGCUAAAAACCCUAUAAAUCCUAGCUUCUUUCCAGGCUCAGGGCUCCUAGCCUUUGACUGCUGUGUCAGUUCAUGCUGGGAGCCUGAGCCUACGCCCCAAAUAAAGCCUCUUUUAUGUUUGCAUAUGAUUUCUGACCGCUGGUGUGGUCAAUGGCCUUUUGGGGUCUCUCAAACUGGAGACAACAUCUUGGAGGCUCCCCCUGGAUUCCCAGGACAACCCCCUCACCAGGACCCCUGAAUCACUGAGCUUGUUUCCUGGCCGGUUUAUGUCUGUCUGAACGUUUGUCUUGUCUUUGGCGUGAAGGACCCAUUUCUAGUGAUAGCAUUGAUCUACGCGGACACAGCAGUGAGACAUGUCAACUUCUGGCAGCAUGCCCUUUCAACUUCAAAGAAGAUGAUGAGCAUCAAAGAAUUUCUCAAUCAAGAGAUGGCUUCAUAUAUGGCAAAGUAGCCACUGGAUCUCUACUUGGAUGACAGACUCCAUCCAGGGAUCACCUGCAGACUGAAAACUGCUGAGCCCUGGACUUCCUGAAAGCUCAUGUAAAUCAGUCCAGUCAAUGUGAUUGCUUCCUGUCUUUUAACUAGAUCAGCUAAUCAGAUGCUUUUGAUAAAUGCCCCAUUGCUCACCCCUUUCAGCUUUCCUCGGCCCUUGAUUACAACAUCUUACUGUCAGCCUGAAAAGGCUACAGAAUAAGAGAAACUCUCCAGCCUUUAUCCUACUUAAUAGGUUGAAAUGCUAAGUCAGAGGCGGCUUCUUGGCAAAGGGAAUGGGUUCCUAUGAUACCAAUUGACAUACCAGAAAAUUGGCCCUUAGUUCUUUUUCCUCUAGUCAUGUUUUGUGCCCCUUACAUGAUUAUAAUAGUUCCCCUUGGCUUACUACCCUCUGAAAACAGUUGAUGAGCCUGUGAUACCAGAUUGAAUAUCAGCACUGGUGUUAUCAGGACACAAACUAUUAAGCUCUUAGCACUGCUAUAGAUCAGAACAUAGAACGAAUAAAAACAUCUGUUUCUCAUUGGCAGGAUUCCUUAAACCUCUUUAUCUGAAACCGUAUUGCAAAACACAAAAGGACCAGCCAGAUCUGCUUUUCAUGCAACAAGGGGGUUUAUGUGCAACAUUAGGAGAAGAAUGCUGUUUUUAUAUUGAAUACUGAGGUGUAGUCAUAGAAUCUAUGGCCUUGGUAAGUGAAGGCUUACAAACAUGAAGACUUCAGAGAAAACAAAAUCAGUCUUGAUUUGAGUCAAAAUUCAGUUGGUUCCCCUGGUGGACUACCAUAAUUUCAGCAUUAGUAGGACCUCUGCUUAUAUUAGUCACAAUUCAUCCUUAUAAAAUCAAUAGAUUAAUAACUUCAUUAGAGAACGAAUUAGUGCUGUACACAUGUUGGUACUUAAAUUGCAAUACCGAUCUCUAAAUUUAAAUCAGGAAGAAAAUAGAACUUCACUUGGCCCCAUGAUUGGGUCCAAUAUUUACUAGGAGAGGGGAGAAUGUAGAAACUGAACAUAACAGAGACAAUUUUGUCACUGUUAAUUGUUAAAAGGUUAGAUGUAAUGGUUAAGAUACCUCCUGGAAUAUCACACUGAUGAGACAGGUUAUUACUCAUUUGAUAAAAUUGACAAUAUAUGUUAGUAAAAACUAAGAUUGGUGCAGAGUAGUUGUGGCACAUGCAUUUAAUCCCAGCAUUGGGAGGCAGAAGCAGACAGAACGUAUACGUGACCUAAAACUUACCCCUGCUUCAGAAAAGCAUGUUUAUACUUGCAAAAAUCUACAUUUCUGAGAAUGACCACAUAAUGUGCCAACCCUGAAACUAGCUGAUCAGAAAACAGGUCAAAAUGACCGUUGUCCUUGAGAUUACUAAAACAAUCACGUUAUCAUUAUCGUUACUAUAGGUGGUUGUACUUUUCCUCUAACUAAUCGCUAUGUAACAAGCUUUCUCUUUUUAAAUGUCACCCAAUCCUGUAACUGCCAUGUAUUGAAGUCCCUUCCCCUUGCUAAAAACCCUAUAAAACCUAGCUUCUUUCCAGGCUCAGGGCUCCUAGCCUCUGACUGCUGUGUCAGUUCAUGCUGGGAGCCUGAGCUUAAGCCCAAAAUAAAUAUUCCUUGUUUUUGUAUACAA